GACGGGGGGGGCAAGUGUUCUUCGGAAUGACUGGGCGUAAAGAGCUCGUAGGCGGCCUGUUGCGUCCGCUGUGAAAUCCCGGGGCUCAACCCUGGGCGUGCAGUGGAUACGGGCAGGCUGGAGGCAGGCAGGGGAGAACGGAAUUCCCGGUGUAGCGGUGAAAUGCGCAGAUAUCGGGAGGAACACCCGUAGCGAAGGCGGCACUCUGGGCCGGUACUGACGCUGAGGAGCGAAAGCGUGGGGAGCGAACAGG
rnacentral:rRNA from 1 species